UAUAUUUCCAUUGUAUGCCAGUAUAUAUGAACAGGCUUAGACGUUCUCCACCCAUCGUUUAUCUGAUCAAUACUAAAAGAACAAAGAUUACAAUGGAGGAAAGCCUGAGGUGAUGUAGGUCUCCCGAUAUUUACCUCCUCGGUAAGAACCACAUGCACGAAGAGCACCUAUGGUGCUGGCAAACCAACAAUAUAAUCGGGGCGAAUUAAAUCAUAGGUUUCGGGCAUCCCUUAGGGACACAAAUCAGCACAGCGAAUUGUGGCAGCUCAGAUAACUGAGCCACUCAAGACCCUCCCUUAGUGACAAAACUGAUCAAUGAAAACUAUAAUGAACAUGAAAGG